UGCCAGCCGCCGCGGUAAGACGGAGGGUCCUAGCGUUGUUCGGAAUGACUGGGCGUAAAGGGUGCGUAGGCGGUUUGGUCAGUUAGAUGUGAAAGCCCAGGGCUCAACCUUGGAACUGCAUCCGAUACUGCCUUGCUUGAGGAUUGGAGAGGAGCUUGGAAUUGGUGGUGUAGCAGUGAAAUGCGUAGAUAUCACCAGGAAGACCAAAGGCGAAGGCAGAGCUCUGGACAAUUCCUGACGCUGAGGCACGAAGGCCAGGGUAGCGAAAAGGAUUAGAUA
rnacentral:rRNA from 1 species